GGUGCGACACUUGAAUCUUUUUCGAAUCAGUUUAAAAGAUUCCAAAAAGAUUCAGAAUGAUUCGAAAAGAUUAGGCGCGAUCAACAACAAAACCAGGUGCUUGUCAAAUGAAUCAAAAUGACUGAAUGAUUUCGAUUAGUGUAUGUUUUUGUUUUGGAGCGCGUUUCAUUGUUUGCUGCGAGGUUUCGCGUGAUGUAAUUAGAAGACAAUCAACCGUGUAAUCAGCUUUUCUCUACUGCAGAUAGUGUUGCUGCCAGAGUAUAGUUAUGCAGGACGUGGUGGACUAGCGCUCAACGACAGAAAACCCGGAUCAUACUGCACUUUCGAUAUGUUUUCCGCUGGGGCCCUAGAUUUUCCAUAUGAAUGCCGAAUGAAAAAUCCUUCACUGGACUCACACCUGGGCCAAACGCUUCCACUCUUCCAGCACACCUGCAAGUGUAUCAGCUUAUCGAUAGCAACCAGCAACAUCUGCGACCUGAAACGGAAUCAUCAGCAUCUGUUCUCUUCACCUGAGACCUCUUCACUCGUCGUUUUCCGGAAUCGUUGCAGCUUGUCCAGUCCAGAUUCCGUGAGACGUCCAGCCCAACGCUGCCUGUUGUUCUUUUCCAGAUCGACAAUGUGCAUAUACUAGGUUCUAUGCGUGAUUUCUACCAUUUACGGCUUGUUUAUCGCCAAGUGUUCGCGUAAGACCCUACAUCAAAAUGAUUUCCGGCCAACUUUCUUCAACAUCUAAGGCAUUGUCGGUUUAAGUGUCCAUUCAAGCAACCUGGCCGGAAUAUUCACAUGGUUUUGAAAAAAAACGAGAAAUUUUUAAUGUGGCAACUAAAAACAAGCAUGAGUCAUCUUAUUUAUGAAUAAAAUCUUUAACUUUUUAGUUAUAAAAUUAAAUAAAA